rnacentral:rRNA from 1 species
UGCGCAGGCGGUUAUAUAAGACAGAUGUGAAAUCCCCGGGCUCAACCUGGGAACUGCAUUUGUGACUGUAUAGCUAGAGUACGGCAGAGGGGGAUGGAAUUCCGCGUGUAGCAGUGAAAUGCGUAGAUAUUAGGAGGAACACCAGUGGCGAAGGCGGCUUACUGGACGGUAACUGACGUUGAGGCUCGAAAGCGUGGGAGCAAACA